UACGGGGGGAGCAAGCGUUGUUCGGAUUUACUGGGCGUAAAGGGCGCGUAGGCGGCCACCGCAAGUCGACUGUGAAAUCUCCGGGCUUAACCCGGAAAGGUCAGCCGAUACUGCGGGGCUAGAGUGCAGAAGGGGCAACUGGAAUUCUCGGUGUAGCGGUGAAAUGCGCAGAUAUCAGGAGGAACACCAAUGGCGAAGGCAGCUCGCUGGGACGUGACUGACGCUGAGACGCGAAAGCGUGGGGAGCAAACAGG
rnacentral:rRNA from 1 species